ensembl:snoRNA
CUUGCCCCUUGAGACGUAACUUUGGCUCCAAUGCCACUGUUGUGCUAUGAAAGGGCAAACAGUAAAUGGCUCACGAUAGCCUGACUGCCCUGUUCAGUGGGCAUCGGGUACGGAACCGAGCCAGAUAGA